rnacentral:rRNA from 1 species
UGGGGAAUAUUGCGCAAUGGGCGAAAGCCUGACGCAGCAACGCCGUGUGAGGGAUGAAGGCUUUCGGGUCGUAAACCUCUGUCAGAAGGGAAGAACGGUUGUUGGUCUAAUAGGCCUUCAAUUUGACGGUACCUUCAGAGGAAGCACCGGCUAACUCCGUGCCAGCAGCCGCGGUAAUACGGAGGGUGCAAGCGUUAUUCGGAAUUACUGGGCGUAAAGCGCACGUAGGCCGCUUUGUAAGUCAGGGGUGAAAUCCCACGGCUCAACCGUGGAACUGCCCUUGAAACUGCGAAGCUUGAAUCCUGGAGAGGGGGGCGGAAUUCCUGGUGUAGGAGUGAAAUCCGUAGAUAUCAGGAGGAACACCGGUGGCGAAGGCGGCCACCUGGACAGGUAUUGACGCUGAGGUGCGAAAGUGUGGGGAGCAAACA